CUACGUGCCAGCAGCCGCGGUAAUACGGAGGGUGCGAGCGUUAAUCGGAAUAACUGGGCGUAAAGGGCACGCAGGCGGUGACUUAAGUGAGGUGUGAAAGCCCCGGGCUUAACCUGGGAAUUGCAUUUCAUACUGGGUCGCUAGAGUACUUUAGGGAGGGGUAGAAUUCCACGUGUAGCGGUGAAAUGCGUAGAGAUGUGGAGGAAUACCGAAGGCGAAGGCAGCCCCUUGGGAAUGUACUGACGCUCAUGUGCGAAAGCGUGGGGAGCAAACAGGAUUAGAUACCCUGGUAGUCCACGCUGUAAACGAUGUCGAUUUGGGGGUUGAGCUUUAAGCUUGGCGCCCGUAGCUAACGUGAUAAAUCGACCGCCUGGGGAGUACGGCCGCAAGGUUAAAACUCAAAUGAAUUGACGGGGGCCCGCACAAGCGGUGGAGCAUGUGGUUUAAUUCGAUGCAACGCGAAGAACCUUACCUACUCUUGACAUCCAUGGAAUCCAGUAGAGAUACGGGAGUGC
rnacentral:rRNA from 1 species